rnacentral:tRNA from 1 species
CAUGACGUAGCUUAUUUACGAAAGCAUCUGGCCUACGCCCAGAAGACUCCACAACMAAUGGACAUCAUGA